AAGUCGUAACAAGGUUUCCGUUGGUGAACCAGCGGAAGGAUCAUUACAGAGAUCAUGCCCUCACGGGUAGACCUCCCACCCUGUGUUAUUUACUAUUGUUGCUUUGGCAGGCCGCCUUCGGGCUCUCGGCUUAGGCUGAGGUGUGUCUGCCAGAGGACCCCAACUCUGUGUUUAGUGUCGUCUGAGUACUAUAUAAUAAGUUAAAACUUUCAACAACGGAUCUCUUGGUUCUG
rnacentral:misc_RNA from 1 species